CAGCACCUCAAGUGGUCAGGAUGAUUAUUGGGCCUAAAGCAUCCGUAGCCGGCGCUGUAAGUUUUCGGUUAAAUCUGUACGCUCAACGUACAGGCAGCCGGGAAUACUGCAGCGCUAGGGAGUGGGAGAGGUAGACGGUACUCGGUAGGAAGGGGUAAAAUCCUUUGAUCUAUUGAUGACCACCUGUGGCGAAGGCGGUCUACCAGAACACGUCCGACGGUGAGGGAUGAAAGCUGGGGGAGCAAACCGGAUUAGAUACCCGAGUAGUCC
rnacentral:rRNA from 1 species